AUUGAACGCUGGCGGCAUGCUUUACACAUGCAAGUCGAACGGCAGCGGGGGCUUCGGCCUGCCGGCGAGUGGCGAACGGGUGAGUAAUGCAUCGGAACGUGCCCAGUCGUGGGGGAUAACACAUCGAAAGAUGUGCUAAUACCGCAUACGUCCUGAGGGAGAAAGCGGGGGAUCUUCGGACCUCGCGCGAUUGGAGCGGCCGAUGUCGGAUUAGCUAGUUGGUGGGGUAAAAGCCCACCAAGGCGACGAUCCGUAGCGGGUCUGAGAGGAUGAUCCGCCACACUGGGACUGAGACACGGCCCAGACUCCUACGGGAGGCAGCAGUGGGGAAUUUUGGACAAUGGGCGCAAGCCUGAUCCAGCCAUGCCGCGUGAGUGAAGAAGGCCU
rnacentral:rRNA from 1 species